GACGAACGCUGGCGGCGUGCUUAACACAUGCAAGUCGAACGGAAAGGCCCUGCUUUUGUGGGGUGCUCGAGUGGCGAACGGGUGAGUAACACGUGAGUAACCUGCCCUUGACUUUGGGAUAACUUCAGGAAACUGGGGCUAAUACCGGAUAGGAGCUCCUGCUGCAUGGUGGGGGUUGGAAAGUUUCGGCGGUUGGGGAUGGACUCGCGGCUUAUCAGCUUGUUGGUGGGGUAGUGGCUUACCAAGGCUUUGACGGGUAGCCGGCCUGAGAGGGUGACCGGCGACAUUGGGCCUGAGAUACGGCCCAGACUCCUACGGGCGGCAGCAGUCGGGAAUAUUGCACAAUGGGCGGAAGCCUGAUGCAGCAACGCCGCGUGCGGGAUGACGGCCUUCGGGUUGUAAACCGCUUUCGCCUGUGACGAAGCGUGAGUGACGGUAAUGGGUAAAGAAGCACCGGCUAACUACGUG
rnacentral:rRNA from 1 species